UACGUAGGGGGCAAGCGUUGUCCGGAAUCAUUGGGCGUAAAGCGCCCGUAGGCGGCCCGGUAAGUCCGCUCUGAAAGUCCAGGGCUCAACCCUGGAAAGCGGGUGGAUACUGCCGGGCUAGAAUCCGGAAGAGGCGAGUGGAAUUCCUGGUGUAGCGGUGGAAUGCGCAGAUAUCAGGAGGAACACCAAUAGCGAAGGCAGCUCGCUGGGACGGUACUGACGCUGAGACGCGAAAGCGUGGGGAGCGAACAGG
rnacentral:rRNA from 1 species